rnacentral:lncRNA from 1 species
AAAAGCAAAGAAAGUAGAAUUGCCAAAACAAUUUUGAAAGAGAAAAGCCACUUAAAGAACUCAUACUAUCUGAUUUCAAAGCUUAUUAUAAACCUAAUCAAGACAGGGUACUGGUGAAAGAACAGACACAUAGAUUAAUGAAGACAGAGUCCAGAAAUAGAACUACAUGUAUGCAGUAAAUUAAUUUUUGACAAAAGUGUAAAAACAAUUCAAUGGAGAAAGGAUAGUCUGUUACACAAAUGAUGUUGAAAUAACUG